GAGGGGGGGCGGUUCCAGCUUUCCUCCCCUCCCCCUUCCCCUCACCCUCCGCCUGCGCCGCGGCUGCUGCUGCUGCGUCGGGUAUCAGAGGCACCAGUGGUGCUAGCCGGUGAGAGCCAUGUACAAUGGGAUAGGACUCCCCACUCCCCGGGGCAGCGGCACCAACGGUUACGUGCAGCGCAACCUCUCGGCCGUCCGCCACAAGAAGGAUCGUACCGACUACAAGUCAGAAGAGGAGUUGAGGAAACUGGAGUCGUCUCUGGUUAAAAAACCAAACCAGGACAUCCUGGACCACGAGCGCAAGCGGAAGGUUGAGCUGAAAUGCUUAGAGCUGGCUGAGCUCAUGGAAGAACAGGGGUAUGGUGAAGGGGAGAUCCAGGAAAAAGUAGCCACUUUUCGGAUAAUGCUUCUAGAAAAGGAUGUAGCAGUGGUCAAGGAGGGAGAAUCCCAGCAGAAGCCAACUGUCACAGAGACCCAUCAGCUAGCUGAGGCCAAUGAGAAAAAGAAUGAGAAGCUUCGUGCUGCCUUUGGAAUUAGCGACAACUAUGUGGAUGGCAGCUCCUUUGACCCCAACCGCAGGGCCAAGGAGGCAGCAACAGCUGCAGCUGCCAAGCAGCUACAAGAGCAGCAGAAGCAAUACAGUCUUGUCAAAGAAUCUAGCAGCUCCCGUUCACCAUCCCCAAAGCAGAAGAAGAAGAAAAAGAAGAAAGACAGAGGCAGAUCUGAAAGCAGGUCACCUUCUCGAAGAGAGAGGAAGAAAAGCUCAAAGAAGAAGAAACACAGAUCAGAGUCCAAAAAAAGGAAGCACAGGACUCCAAGUCCCAAGAGUAAACACAAAUCCAAGGAAAAGAAACGAAAACGGUCCACCAGUGAGUCUACAUCUCAGAAAGGCCGCCGCGAUCGUUCUUCUUCUCCGGAUGGUUCUUCCUCCUCAGAUGCUUCUCGCAGCAGGUCAGGCAGUGUCACUGCUCAGAAACGGGGGGGCUUAAGACGCCAGAGCAAAUCUCCCUCUGCCUCUUCACGAAAACAAGGAGAAACUGAGGUGGCUUCCAAGAAUCUUCCAGAGCGAGAUCGUUCAACUUCUUCUGAGCCUGCCCGGCGGGGCAGGAGCACAAGCCCUCGAGAAAGCAGAGAAAAACGGGAGAAAACUUUGUCCAAGCAUUCUCCGGUACAUGAGUCCCGGCAGCGUUCUGCUAGCCCAUUAUCUCCUAACAAAGAGAAGGAAAGAGAGAAGGAGAAGAAGUCUGCUUGGCAUGGGGGUCGUAAAGCUACUCCUUCAUUUGAGCUGGAUUCAAGGUUCAAGCAUUGCUCACCAGUGCCGAAUGAUCCUACUCGGGAAAAAACCUUUGGGCACAACCGUCCUUCCUCUAAGGAGAGGAGGUCACCUCCCAGAGACUCCCCACAGUCUAAGAAGCAAUCAGAAGAUCGUAAUGGAACUCUCCCACCAUCCAAGGCGAAGAUGUCCCCUGACCAGAAGGAGCAGCUUGCAGCUUCCUCAUCUUCUCCUUCUUCAAAGGCAACUGAGACCAAGUUGAGGAAGGACUCCCAUGAUGGGUCUCCACCCCAGCGUACCCAUUCUCCUUCAGAGAGUGGUAGCUGCUCCUCUUCCUCCUCCUCCUCUUCUUCCCCUGCAGACAAGCCAGCCACAGUUUCCCGUAGCUCUUCCCCAGAGGAGCCUCCCAAAAGACAAGACAAAGAGAAGGCAUCUACACGCAGAGAGAGGUCUAGCUCAUCUCCUGAAAUCUCCCGCUCUGGGCAAAAGCAACCUGCCAAGGCCACAUCUCGACGUGAACUGUCGGGCACCCCUCCAGCCAAGAGCACCAAGUCUAGGGCCAGUCGGAGGGACAAAUCUCUCUCCCAAACACCCAUUACUCGCAGAGGUAGAUCUCGGUCCCGCACGCCACCUAAGAGAGGCAGGUCACGCACACGCUCACCACCAAGGAGGGGGAGAUCUCGUUCUGCUCAGAGACGUGCCCGUUCCCGUUCCCGCACUCCUCUAAGAAGAGCCCGUUCUCGCAGCCCUCAGUGGCGGGGCCGAUCGAGAACACCCCAGCGGUGGGGCAGAUCACGUUCACGUACACCACCAAGGUGGGGACGAUCUCGUACACCUCAAAGGCGUGGCUGGUCCCGAUCUAGAACUCCCCAAAGGCAUGGAUGGUCUAGAAGCAGAAAUAGUGGAAGAUGGGGGCGGUCAAGAACACCACCAAGAAGGGGGAGGACACGUUCAAGAACCCCACCAAGAAGAGGCAGGUCUAGAUCUAGAACUCCACCCAGGCGAGUAAGGUCUCGAUCCAGAACUCAAACAAGAAGAGGCCGAUCUAGAACAAGAAGCCCUCCCAGGAGAGGGCGGUCUAGCUCUUCACCGAGGAGAGAGAAAUCUUUGAUUUCAGCCAGGCGAAGCAGGUCUGGGUCAUCUCCAGACCGGAAGGUUUCCAGGAUUUCUUCAAGGAGAAGCCGAUCUGACUCUUCCCCUAGAAUGAGAGAGAGGUCCCGAAAAGCACUGAGACGUAGCCAGUCUGGAUCAUCUCCUGAAUCCAGAAGCAGAUUGCGAGUGUCUCCCAGACGCAGUCGAUCUGUAUCACUUCCAAAGACAAAAAAGAAAUCCCAGUUAUCUCCUCGGAGUAGUCGUUCAGGUUCAUCGCCAAGAACAAGGAAGAAAAAAUCAAGAACGCCUCCACGGCACAGUCGCUCUAGUUCUUCUCCGAGGCUGAGAAAGAAAUCCAGAUUAUCUCCAAGGCGAAGCAGAUCCCGUUCUUUUCCAACCCCAAAAAAGAAGUCUAGAUCUCCUGCCAGGCGUAGCCAAUCUAGGACACCUCCAACACUGAAAACUAAAUCUAGAAUGUCUCCAAGGAGCAGAUCUGGCUCAUCUACAAGACUCUCAAAGAAAUUUGAUGCCUCUUCAGUAGUUGAUGAGAAAUCUAAAAUGUCUUCCAGAAGGAGCCGAUCUGGUUCAUCUCCAGCAUUAAGGAGGACAUCUAACUCUCCUGCAAGACGUAGUAGAUCUGGGUCAUCUCCAGGUGUAGAAGAGAGAUUGACAAGAAGACGAAACAGGUCUGAGUCUUCUCCAGAAGUGAAAACCAAAUCAAGAUCAGGGUCAUCACCAGGGCUCAAGAAGGAAGUGAUGUCAUCUCCAAGGCAAAGCCGGUCUAGUUCUUCUCAGUCAUCAGUAAGAGAAAACUCUCUAUCACCUUCAAGACAAGCAGCCUCCUCAGAGCCAAAGUCCACACCUCCAUUGCAGCGAAGCAGGUCUGGGAGAUCUCUAGCGGGAAAAGAAAAACCUAGAUCACCGCACCCAAGGCAGAGCAGGUCUGGAUCACCUCCAACUUUAAGGGAGAAAUCUGCAUCACCAAGAAAAACUGCGUCUGGAUCUUCUGCAGAACUGAAGAAGAAAUCAGUUUCACCAGUGGAAAAGUGCAAAACUGAUUCUUCGGAACUGAAGAAAUCCAGGUCAUCACCAAGGCGAAGCAGGUCUGGCUCCUCUCCAUUGAUCAAAGAGCAGUCUAGAUCACCACCUAGGAACAAGUCCAGAUACUCACCUGACGGAAAAUCUGCAUCACCUUUGAAGCAAGUCAGGUCUGGUUUCUCCCCUCCAACUAUGAAAGAAAAGUCUAAGUCACCUACCAGGAGAAGUGGGUCCCACUCCUCUCCUGAACUAAAUGGCAAGUCUAAAUCUCCACCACAUCAGAGUAAAUUGCAAGAAACAAAAGCCAAAUCUGGAUCACCUCCACGGCACAACAAAUCUGGAUCUUUGACAGUAUUGGGGAGAGCUACAUCACCAUGCCAGAAGAGUAAAUCAGGUUCUUCUCUCUCUGGGAAAGAGAAAUCACAGUCACCCCCAAAGAAAGGUCAGCCUGGGUCAUCACCAGUACUUAAGAAGUCUGAGAUUCCAUUAAGGCGAAGUAGAUCUGGAUCAUCCUCUUCCUCCUCUUCCUCCUCGUCUUCCUCCUCCUCUUCAUCAUCAUCCUCUACAUCAUCAUCCUCUCCAGAGGAUGAUAAAUCUCGUUCACCCCCAAAAUUAAGUCGUUCUGCUGCAUUAUCAGUUAACAAGAGCAAAUCUAUAUCAUCUCCAACACGCAGCAGGUCAGAUUCCUCUCCAGAACCAGAGAACACCACAUCGGCAGCUGUUGCAAAGCACAACAGACCUGGAACUUCUCCAGAAUCAAGAGAAAUGUCAAGAGCUGCAGUGAUGGGGCCUAGAUCACCUUUGGAGAAAAAAGAUGUGCCCAGAGAUGCAUGUAGAAGGAGUAGGUCAGGGUCAUAUUCUGGGGUUAAAGAAAAGUCAAGAACACACUCCAGUGAGAGUAGUUCAGAGUCCUCCCCAGAACGGAAAGAGAAAUCUGUAAGCAGGUCUGUCUCACCUGUGAGACCGGCUGUAAAAUCAAAAACUCCUCCAAGACGUAGAAUGUCGAGGUCACCACCCAGGCCUAGAGCAAAAUCCAGAACACCACCAAAGCGUGGCAGGUCUGGAUCACCAGCAAGACCCAGAGUGAAGUCCAGAACACCACCAAGACGGCGUAGGUCAGGGUCCUCUCCCAGACCCAGAAUUAAGUCCAGAACGCCACCGAGACGACGCAGAUCUGGAUCAUCUCCCAGACCCCGAAUGAAGUCCAGAACACCACCUCGCCGCCACUGCAGAUCUGGAUCAUCUCCAAGACCCAGAAUGAAAUCUAGAACGCCUCCACGAAGACGGAGGUCUGGAUCCUCUCCACGAGCCAGAGAGAAGUCUAGAACACCAAUUACAAGAAGACGGAGAUCUGUGUCACCACAGAGUCCUAGGCGGAAAUCUCGAACUCCUCUGAGGCGUGGAAGAUCCAGAUCAGUCUCCAGAGAGAAGUCAAACACCAGCGUGCAUCCACAUAGGUCCCAGUCAUCAUCCCACUGUGAUAGACCUAGAAGUUCCUUGCGACGGGGGAGAUCUGGCUCUCCCUCACGGAGGAGUCGUUCCCGCUCAUUCUCCAGAAGAAGAGACAAAUCUAGGGGUUCAUUACGGAGGGAAAGGUCUGUCUCCUCUCCAGGUCGAAGCCGUUCAAGGUCCCCUUCUCAUCAGGACAGAUCUCGCUUCCCAUGGAAGGGUGAACGCUCUGUCUCCUCACCACGCAAAGGUCAUUCCCGAUCACCAGCACGAAGAGAGAUGUCAAAGCUGUCUCCACAACGCUCUGCUACCAGUCGGAAUGCAUCUCGUUCACCGCCCAGGUUAGAUGCUUCACGUACCACAGCAACCUACAAAGGCACUGGGUCCAGAGCAUCUCCUGACUUUCGGUCGUCUCCUGUGAGGAAGCAUUCCAGGUCAGGGUCUCGGGAAAUGUGCACCUCCCCAGGAAGGAAAUCUCGCUCCCCCCCUGUGCUGGAGAGAUACCCCAAGUCUGAUGUUCAGGAGAAGCCAGCAACUUCUUCCCUUUGGCACAGCAAAAGUAACACUGCAAUUCCUCACACUCCAACUCCACCUCGUGAGGGAUCUCCUAAACCACGGAAAAACCUGUCUCCUGCUCCAUCCAUGCUACGGGAGUCACCUACCGUGUCAAAGAAUGGGUCUGCUGUCGUCCGAGAUAGCCCAGGAGAGAGGAAUCAGAUGGUCCAUUCUGCCAUAGUUCGAGAUGAUACAAUUGCUGGUACUUCUGUGGCGUCAGGGAGAAGCAGUUCCCAUGCAGGCUCCCCUUCUCCUGUUAAAGCUACAUCGUUGUCCCCCUCCUCCUCCUCUCCCUCCUCCUCUGCUUCCUCUAGCCCCUUGCCAGCUCUGGUUUCUCUGCUAGUCCCACCCUCCAAAGAAGAGGAUUCUGCACCGGAAGGGAAAGUGGCUGAUAGGCCUGAAGUGCACCUCCCCACCCUUGAGGCUGAGCCACUGUUGACUUCUGCCGCCGUGGAGAACAACGCCCGGAGCAGCUGUUCCACAGCCCCUCAGCUGGCUCUUCCCUCCCCACCGCCUUCUGCCCCCUUGAAAGCAAAGAGAAGUUCAUCUGCUUCGUCCACCACUUCUUCAUCAUCAUCAUCCUCUUCGUCAUCCUCGUCCUCGUCCUCUUCUGAUUCUGAGUCCAGCUCGUCUGGGUCCAGCCCCCAUGAUCAGCCACUAAAGGACAUCGAGGCUGAGAUUGUACUGAAGCAGCCCCUUUCUCCCUGCUCCAGGCCACCAAGCCCAGUGCUGAAGGAGGGCCCACAUGAUGAACGGCCUCUAGAAGUGGGCAAGCGUAAGCGUCGCUCUCGGAGUUCCAGCAGCUCCAGCAGCAGCUCUUCCUCCUCCUCCUCAUCGUCAUCAUCGUCUUCCUCCUCCUCCUCUUCAGCCUCUUCCUCAUCUUCGUCCUCUUCCUCUUCAGCAUCGUCGCCUAAGACUGGGCCCCAGGCCGUCGCCAAGGUGGUUCCCAAAAAGAAACCGUCUCCCGAGAAGAGAAAGUCACGCAGCCCCCGAAAGCCUGCUGACUCCUUGCGUGACUCGCGCUCCCUCAGCUAUUCUCCAGUAGAACGGUGUCUGGCUUCCCCUCCGGUCCAGCCACCCUCUGCUCCAAGGGACCGACGCAGGGACAGGUCCAGGGACAGAUCCUUGCAGAGAAACAGGCGAAGCAUCAGCAGGUCUCCAGGACGGAAACGGCGGCGUAAUUCUCCCAGCUCCCGACCCCCCCGCCGCAGAACUUCAAGGUCCCCCUAAGUCUCUUGGAGAGUCUGGAAUGCCCUUGCCCGUGCAACCACAGACUGCGCCACCCCAGCCUCCCACAGUGCUGUCCCAGAUCUCAGCCAAUGACUUUAUAUGUGAAGAAGAUAGCAUGAAUGAUCUAAAACGCAAGUUCCCUUUCUGUUGCUGCCUCAUGAUACUCCCUCCUCGUCCCCUGGUUUGCCCUUUUGGUUUUUCUUUUAUCAACCCUCUUUACUCUUGUCAUAUGACACAUCAGCGAAGUUUAAAAUGGGCUUUGCUUUUCAACAUGAAACAGAAAGUGUCUGUCUCAUGUAGGCUAGAAAUGUUUGAAGUUUAGGGCCUGAGCUUGUACUUAUUUGAAAUAAGCAAAUAUUAGCUGUGUCACUUUUGGAAAAAAAUGGUAUAACAAGUUAAUGAACAUUUAUUUUUGAUGUGUCUUGGUCUGUUGAGCAGAGAAUAGGAAAUACAUGCAUUUAUGUAGAAGAGUUUUUUUCUACCAAGCUGGUUUACAAUUUUGAAUACUAAAAAAUUACAAAACAGUUUUCUCAUCUAAGAGGAGACAGCACAAGCUCCCUGGCCUUCUACCUUUUUUUCUGCCUUCCCGUGGGGCACAUAGGUCUUAUAUAGUCCCAGGGAAGGUGUGGGGACUGUGAAUGAUGGUAAUUUUGCUUCUUCCUUGUCUCGGGACUCAUCAAUCUUGAGGCAAGGGAAAGUGGGAUGUUGCUGAAUGGAAAGCCAAUUGGGGAUUCUAAGAUUGUACAGACUUAACAGAACUCUCCUUUCUCCUUGUCGUCUGAACAACUGCCAGUUCUUUGCAGUUUGUUUUCAUUCUCAUUGAGGCUUAUGUGCUUUUAAUUUUAGAAUGAAAAUAAUAAUCUUGGUUCGUAAGGUCCUAAGCAAGAGGGCCACAAUUAGCAGAACAGCUCACAGCUUGCUUUCAUGGUGCUUGCUUUGUAUGCCUGCCUGCCUUUGGUGUUUGUGUAGUGAUGCUGUGAAUUUGCUUUCACAAUGAGAUACUUAGGGGGACCCUACACAGUUAGUUUAAUUAAAUGUAAUGGGCUACAUCCAGAUAAGGUUUUUUUUUUUUUUAAACUUAACUGGGGGGAGAUUGCUUAGUCAUGACUAGCCUUUUCCAUUUAUUUCAGUGGGAGCUAAGUGCAGCUAGAUCUUCUCUGAUCCAGCUAGAUGGUUUUGCGUCAGAAGCCAGGAAAGGCAUAGUUCUGAUUCUUAAUGAUACUUUACAAAUAAGCUGCCUGUGUGAAAUCCAGACCCAGACCCUCCUUUGUUCCAUCUUACCCAGAACGUUUCUACCUUCAAGAAUAAACAACAACUAUACAAUUGUA